rnacentral:misc_RNA from 1 species
UCUCCGUUGGUGAACCAGCGGAGGGAUCAUUACCGAGUUUACAACUCCCAAACCCAAUGUGAACCAUACCAAACUGUUGCCUCGGCGGGGUCACGCCCCGGGUGCGUCGCAGCCCCGGAACCAGGCGCCCGCCGGAGGGACCAACCAAACUCUUUCUGUAGUCCCCUCGCGGACGUUAUUUCCUACAGCUCUGAGCAAAAAUUCAAAAUGAAUCAAAACUUUCAACAACGGAUCUCUUGGUUCUG